rnacentral:tRNA from 3 species
AACUAAUGAACUUGAAUAAGUAUAUAUUUUGAAAAUAUAAUAAAGAAACACGAAUUUCUAUUAGUUU